ensembl:lncRNA
CUGUUUUUCAUCAACUUUAUGGUAAUGUUCCCCUCUCUCUCUUGCUCCCUAUUCCUCUCUCUCUUGCUCCCUAUUCCUCUCUCUCUCUCUCUCCCUCUCCUCUCCCUCUCCCUCUCUCCCUCUCUCUCUCUCUCUCUCUCUCUCUCUCUCUCUCUCUCUCUCUCUCUCUCUCUCUCUCUCUCUCAUGUUCCUCCCAGCUCUGCCAGUGCAGUCCAAGCUGCUCUGCAAACGUCAGCCACAGACCCUCUCUCUCUCUCUCUUCUCUCACAUCAGCCGCUCUUCCUCUCUUAAGCGCGCCAUUUUGUUCAUCUUCUGCCUGCAGCGAGCGACUUCAAUUUACUCUCGGGGAUGUCAUACUGCAGCAGUUUGACAGUCUCCUGUCCUUGGAGAGCCGGAGUGAGGACUUCCUCUCCUUUCAACCCAUGCAGAAGAGGCUGGACAUCUUCCUGAGCAGCGCCAUGGAGCCUUAUCCCGAGCUGUGGGCCUUCUGCAAGAAGCUGCUCAUCCUCUCCCACGGUCAAGCUGCAGUUGAGCGUGGAUUCUCAAUCAAUAAAGAGGUGGAGUCUGAUAACUUGGCGGAGGAUACUGUGGUCACACGGAGACUGGUGUGUGACUACAUCAUACAACAUGGAGGUGUUACCAAGGUUCCACUCAGUAAACCGCUACUGGAAAGUGUAGCAAGGGCAAGGACAAGGUUUCGUACCCAUCUGGAGACCAAAAGAAGGAACAGGGAGGCAAAAGACCAGGCUCUCAAGAGGAGGGAAGCAGAGGACUGUCUUGAGGAGCUGAAGGUUAAGAGGAGACGUGUACAGGAGGUAUCUGAGGGUCUGGCUAGGGAUGCGGACAAGAUGGCUGAGGAGGCUGAAGCGAAGGCAGGGAGCAAGAUGGCUGGCCUGAUCACCAGGUCAAACAUCCUGCGGAGAGGCCAUAAGGAGAAGUUGGCAGAACUGG